rnacentral:rRNA from 1 species
GACAUGCCAGGAACUUGCCAGAGAUGGCUUGGUGCCCGAAAGGGAGCCUGGACACAGGUGCUGCAUGGCUGUCGUCAGCUCGUGUCGUGAGAUGUUGGGUUAAGUCCCGCAACGAGCGCAACCCUUGUCGAUAGUUGCCAUCAUUAAGUUGGGCACUCUAUUGAGACUGCCGGUGACAAACCGGAGGAAGGUGGGGAUGACGUCAAGUCCUCAUGGCCCUUAUGGGUAGGGCUUCACACGUCAUACAAUGGUCGGUACAGAGGGUUGCCAACCCGCGAGGGGGAGCCAAUCUCAGAAAGCCGAUCGUAGUCCGGAUUGCAGUCUGCAACUCGACUGCGUGAAGUCGGAAUCGCUAGUAAUCGCGGAUCAGCAUGUCGCGGUGAAUACGUUCCCGGGUGUUGUACACACUGCCCGUCACACCAUGGGAGUGGGGUUUA